rnacentral:lncRNA from 12 species
AUGCUGCUCCUGCAGCAGCCUAACCUAAUUCCCACACAGUUCCUACUCCCGAAGGAGCAUUACCUAAUUCCCACACUGCCACAGCAGUUCCCGCUCCUGCAGGAGCCUUUUCUCCAUUUCCCCACUGCAGCAGUUCCCGCUCCCGUAGGAACUUUUCUCCAUUUCCCCACUGUUGCAGCAGUUCCUGCUCCCGCAGGAGCUCUUCCAUAUUUUCCCACUGCCACAGCAGUGUAUGCUCCCGCAGGAGCCUUUCCAUAUUUACCCACUGCCGCAGCAGUGUCAGCUCCCGCAGGAGCCUUUCUGUAUUUCCUCACUGCUGCAGCAGUGUCUGCUCCCACAGGAGCCUUUCCUGUCUUUCCCUACUGCCGCAGCAGUGCCCGCUCCUGCAGGAGCUCUUCCAUAUUUCCCCGCUGCCGCAGCAGUGCCCGCUCCCGCAGGAGCUCUUCCAUAUUUCCCCACUGCCGCAGCAGUGCCCGCUCACCACAGGAGCCUUUCCAUAUUUCCCCAUUGCCACAGCAGUGCCCGCUCCCGCAGGAGCCUUUCCAUAUUUCGCCACUGCCACAGCAGUGUAUGCUCCCGCAGGAGCCUUUCCGUAUUUCGCCACUGCCACAGCAGUGUAUGCUCCCGCAGGAGCCUUUCCGUAUUUCCCCACUGCCGCAGCUGUGUCAGCUCCCGCAGGAGCCUUUCUGUAUUUUCUCACUGCCGCAGCAGUGUCUGCUCCCGCAGGAGCCUUUAUUUUGUAUUUCCUCACUGCCGCAGCAGUAUCAGCCCCCGCAGGAGCCUUUCCUGUCUUUCCCUACUGCUGCAGCAGUGCCCGCUCCCGCAGGAGCUCUUCCAUAUUUCCCCACUGCCACAGCAGUUCCCACUCCCGCAGGAGCCUUGCCUAAAUUCCCUCACUGCCACAGCAGUUCCUGCUCCAGCAGGAGCCUUCAUUUUUAUUUGAAUCUGCAGCAGUGCUCGCUUCCGCAGAAGCCAUUUUUUCUUUUCAGAUGCCACAGCAGCGGCCGCUUCCACAGAAGCCAAUUUCUCUUUUCAGAUGCCGUAGCAAUUCCCACAGGAGUUUUCUUUUCAGAUGCUGCAGCAGUAUCUGCUCCCGCAGGAGCUCUUCCGUAUUUCCGCAGCAGUCCCCGCUCCCGCAGGAGCUAUUCCAUUAUUUUCCCAUUUUCCAUUAUUGCCAUAGCAAUGCUCGCUUCUGCAGAAGAUAUUUUCUCUUUUCAGAUGCCGUAG